CGGCCGCUGUAAGAUGAGAGAAGGUGGCGCUGUUCUGCUUGAUUCCUCAAAAACUGAUGAGCACAUUGAGGCGUAGAGAGGACGAACAACUUGCUGGUGGUCACUAAGUCGAUGUUCCCAGUAGCAGAGGACCAACCCAGGAAGUGUGACUUCAAACCUCUGCCCUAAAUCCCGGUCGGCUACCCUUUCAUGGGUACUGUGAUACGGAGGUAGCUGAGGGUGGAACACGGGUGAAGUGUACCUUGGACCAGGCCUCUCCAGAGGUCUUCCUUAGUUGUCAUAGCUGUUUCUGUGUCUCAUGAAGCACCAGCAUCCCCCUGCCACCGUGGGACCCUCCAUUAAAACAGACCUAUAAGAUCUGGAAUGAGCAGAAAAUCUGGUCUUCACUGAGGAGAGACUUGCAUGGUUACCCACAUCUCUGAUCUCUGAAUGGGGAGAAGACUUUGGGGAAAUGGGACACCAGGCAGGGAAUGUUGUGUGGCCUCUGUGGGGAAAGGGAAAGCCCUAGGGCAGAACGGACAGGGCUCUGAUGGAAGGCCUUCUCAAUACCGACAUCACAUUAAUUCUGGUCCUGGUGCACAUGGGCCCCAUCCUGCCAAAUCCACUCCUACCCCACAGGGAGUAUGAGGCCUUAGUUACUGGGCAUAACUACCUUUUAUAGGCCAUUCUAUUUUUUCUUUAGAAACAGACCUAAUUGUCCCAUAGAACUGAGGUUUAUGGGCUUCUUUUUUCCUUUUUUGAAUAAACCCUCCCUGUCUUACAGCUUGAAACUUAUCUUUGUCUGAUCUGAGUCCUUUUCUCAAGAAACUAAUUAUCAGGCUUCUGGAUAGUAUCACCAUAUCCAGACGGUGAGGUUCCAAACCAAUCCCUCAUUUCAGUUUUCACACAUAUAGUUACAUUUCUUCCCUGUUAUAUAAACCCCUAACUUGAAUCAGUUGGGAAGAUGGAUUUGGGACUCAUCUCCCAUCUCCUUCAUCUGAUUCAGAUGGGCUGUACCAUCUGAAUAAAGUCUUCUUCCCUGGCAAUACUCGUUGUCUCAGUGAUUGGCUUUUUGUGUAGCGAGUGACUGGAUCUAGACCAAACCCCUGGCAUUUUGGUAACACUGUCUUCAAGCUUUAGAGCAGGACAAUGGCGAACAAAUACCCUGGGGCUCAGAGACCCAGGCAAGGCUGCCAAGCGGGGCACUAGCAUCUCUCUUCCUCCUCCCUAACCGCCUCAUAGACAAUUUUUCCUACCAAGUGUACAUUUUCUAAUUUUGAUCUGUUGUACCUAAAUUCCCUUUCUAAAGAAUUUCUACUCCGAGAAACAAGUUGAUUUCUCCACUGAAGGGUUCCACUGUAAUUAAACUGAUUGCUGAAAAAGACAUCAUUCUUCUUUUAAUAAGGCAAUUUGCAUAUUCAAUAACUUUAGCCUCACUUGCUGAAAGACAGUUUGAAAGUUUGUUUGUAUAUUCUCUCAAACAUUCUCUCAAAUGUUUUCAGAUUGCUUUACCUCGUUUCCAUUAAUGGGAUAAUAAUGGAAAGAAAAUGCAAGAAGAAAUUCUUUUAAUAACGAAAAAAUAUUUACUUUGUUUCAAAGCACUGCAAUUAAUGGACAACAGGGCCCCUGUGGGGAAACAUCUUUUCAAAUCAGGUGUUUUGCAGGUUACUUUUAAUUUUCUGUUCAUAAGCUGAUGCUGGAGUCUAGCUGGACUUGGAGGGGUGUGAAGGAAAUAUGAAACCCAGAGAAUUACAGCUAAUGAGAACAGAUGGACCACAGGACCCAAGAGCAUGUAGGUGUGGGAUGCUCUGUUUAGCUGCAGGAAGAAUGGUUUGGUGAAGGGUCACAUUUGUUAAGGGCUGAAUGUAGGUUCCUCCAAGCCCACAAUUCAUAUCUUGAGGCCCUACACCUCAACAUGAUGGAAUUUGGAGAUGGGACAUUUCGGACGCGAUUAGGUUUAGAUAAGGUCAUGAGGGUGGAGCCAUGAUGAUAAGAUUAGUGCCCUUAUAAGGAAAGGAAGAGACACCAGAGCUCUGUUUCCCCAACCAACCCCUAUGUGAGGACUCACCAAGGAGGUGCCUGUCUGCAAGCCAGGAAGAGAGCGCUCACCUGAACCUGAUCAUGCUGUCACCCUGAUCUCCGACUUGCAGCCUCCUGCAAGUGAGAAAAUACAUCCCUGUUGUUUAAGCUCCCAGCACUCAUCACAUUUGUCCCCACUCAGCAACAGUGACCUUCUCACUAGUUUUGCUACUCCUGAUCCCAAAGUGAGGCUCCAUGGCUUUCAAAACAUUCAUGCUACAUUUCAUCUUGCUUGUUAGCCAUUCAGCUAGACCCUAUUAGCAGUGCAGAUGAAAAACAGCUGACUGUUCUCCAUGGAUAAGAUGCCAGAAUCCAUAAAAUGGGUUCAUCCGCAGACUCCUCCCUGCAGAAAUCCCCUGCCACUAUGGUGUGUGAAGUCUCCAACCUGGCAUCAAAACCUGAGACAAUUCUCAGCAUAGAUCCUCAUAACCAAAUCCCAGAUAUUCCUUCUGUCUUUGGAACUUUGCAUAUCACUCAAAGGACACAUGACCAAGGGCUCACUCUUAAUGGCAUUCUGGAAGAUCAUAGCAUUGCUUGGUAUUGCUUGGUACAGACUCAGGGAGGCUGUGUCUCUAGGAACAGAUACAAACCUGCUAUUUUUUUCACUGUGGUAAAACACAUGUAAUGAGACAUUUGCCAUUUUAACCAUUUUUUAAGUGUACAACUCAGUGGCAUUAAGUGUACUCAUAUUGUUGUAUAACCAGCAUUGCCAUCCAUCUCUAGAAUCCUUUUAUCUUCCCCACUUGGAACCCUGUACCCGUUACAUAGUCAUUGUCAAUUCCCCCUUCUUUUCAGCCCCUGGGAGUGCUGUUCUAUUUUGUCUCGAUGACAUUUUGCCUAUUUAUUCAUCGACCCAUGAACACCUGAGUUGCUUCCACUUUGGUUAUUGUGAAUAAUGUUGCUAUGAACAGGGGUGAACAAGUAUCUUUUCAAUUCUUCGGGGUAUAGACCCAAUAGUGGAGUUGCUGAGUCAUAUGGUUAUUCUAUGUUUAAUAUUUUGAGUAACCCCAUACACUUUCCACAGUGGCUGCACUAUUUUACAUUCCCAUUGGACUUUGGCUUUUUCUGUGCUUGAACAACCAGUGUCUCCUUGUAUACAUAUAUAUUUUUUAUUCUUUGUCAAUGUCUGCUUCAAAUAACAUGAAGUCCACGGGGUGGUGACUAUGUUCCCCAGCCCUGUGGUUCUCCCAUUUCCAGCACCCUGGAGUGGGGAUUUUUGUAUCUAUUUCUUUCCGGGUAUAAUUUUUCGAUAUGUCCUCUCCACAUGUUCACAUAAAGGAUUGAAUGUGUAAGAUAGUGGAGACGUUCAUGGCGACUUAAGCUUAUGACAGUUGCAUGCUUUUAUCCCUCACGAUGAGAUGCUUUUUAUACACCCCAGACUAUCCCAGUAUGUAGCAGGUCACAGACAACGUCCCAUGGGGUUCAAAACUGGCUGGCCCAGGGUAAGACCUGGGAGCGGAACCUACCGCAUUCCACAAGGCCAGAGUAUACCGAAAGGCACAGAGGGCAGUGAAAGACCUUGGCUUUUCUUUGUUAAGUGGUGUCAAAAUCUAGGCUCUAUGCGGCUUCCAUCCUUGCGUAAGAUGUGCCAAAAGAGACGUUGAGCUUGCUGGUGGAAGCUAGUGCCUCCUCUGACCCUUUAGAGUUAGUCAUGAUAAUAAGCUUCAAUCUUCAGAGAUUAUGGUGUUUGCCAUUUUCCAAGUGGAAUUCAGGCACUUUGCUCUCUCCAAUUUCUGGGUUUAGCUCCAGUUGUUCGGUAAUGCAAUCCUGAAAGGGUGAAUUUGGACAAUUGCAGCUUGGCCAUUUUGAGCACAUAUGCUAGAACUAAGUCUUUUUGGCCCAGCUGUAGCUUCAAUCUAAUGAAAAUGACAGAUAAUGCAGUGCUCUGUGUGCCUGCCAAAAAAGAGGAUAUUUCCCAUGAGAUAGCACCUGGUGAUGCAGAAAUAGACACUAUAGAUUUGCGAUUGGCUGGUGCGUACGGGUAUUCAUAUCUAGUCUGUAUUAUCAACCACACAAGAUCACAUCUUGGAUAAUAACAGCAACAAUGGCAUGCAUAAAAAUUACUGCAGCAAAAAGGAAAAAAAAUACUAGAUCAAUUAUGUCAAUUAGGCACGAAUACUUUCUCCCCUCACAGUUUUAACGCUGAGAAAAGGUGGCAUCUAUCUGUGAUCUAAUUAUUCACAUGCUUAUUUGUGGGUUUCCCCCCUCUCUGCGCUCUCCUCUUUUACAGGCAGAUAUAAAAGAGCUCUCUUUUAGAAACACACCGUGGACUCAAACGUGCCUACAUACAUAUGUGACUUACAUUUGAGCAGUUGAAUAAUCAGUAACUUGAAAGUAAAGAGGAAACGCCUCUGCGUGUUCUAAAGGGAAGCGAUGGGAGGGGUAUAUACUGAGAUGACCUUACCUUAGAGCAAAAAUGCCAUCAGCCUCGAGAAGUGUCAUAAAUUAAGUUGCUAUUUAAGCCCUGAUUCUAGUAAAAGGGUCCAAAUUUCCAAGGUGCCUUUAAUGACUCUGUGCUCAGUGACAAUGAAGUAUUUCUUUAACAGACUGCCACUGAGCAAACAUAAAAAAUGUGCAGCUCUGGAAAGGGAGCUUGCUAUUUUCCCUUUUUUCUUCUUCCUUCUUCCUUUCCACCCCCUUUUUGUCAUCCCUUCCUGUUGCACCUUCUUUGGCCUCCCCUUUAGAGAUGCAGCUGAAAACCCUCAGCACACAAUCUUGGAAUGAGACAAGGGUGAGAUUCUAGCGGGCUGCGUUCAAGUCUUGCUGGACUUGCUCUGUGACCUCAGUAAAGGUCCGCACAGUCACCACCAACUCACAAACCGCUGUCACACCGUCUUUAAAGUGAGGGGGCUUGAACUGGAUGUGCUGACAGCUCCCUUCAAUCUCUCAGGUUUGAAGGAAAUGGUAAUUUACCUAGGCUAGCUUGGGAGGAAGGUGAUUUCGAAAGAGAAAUACAAAAUCAUUAAGCAGAUCAGUAAAUUUGAUAAUGAAUUGUUUCAAUUACAUUCAGGUGGCAGCAGAUGUUAAAUUACUUUAGCAGAACCAAGCUUAGAGGUUUGUGGUUUACUUUUCUCAUUUAAAUAUAUAGAUGCAAAGGAAGAAAUCACAUUUCCUGUCCAUCUUUUCAAAAAGCCCUACUGCGUGAAGCCACCAGAGCAUAACUUCUGUUGGUCUGGGGAUCGGGGGCGUGGGGCUCUGGUCUCAGCUCCACUUCCAAAGAUUGUUUGUGCUCUGGGUGGAGCCUGCCCCUCUUUGUGUUAUCCCUCUAUUAAUGAGGGAUAGACUCAUCUCUAACCCUAAAAUGUGCCAUGCUUCCUUGAACUGUCGUCUACCUGUGCCAGGCUUUGAAAUAUAUAUUUCAAGUAUAUUUGCGUUGAGCCUACAAUACAUUUUUUUAAGCACAUGGCUUGUGAGGUCCUGUGGGACUGGAUCUUUUUGCAUGCCACAGGGGCAUGUAGUCUUCUGGAGAAGCUUAUGAUGAUAUUGGUUGUAGCAGCUGCAGGGGUGAAAAGGGAUAAUGGAAGAAGGGCAUUUCAUCCUGGCACUGGCAUCUCGACUGCCCUAGACAGGCUUCCUGUGACCCCAAAGCUUGAUAUGAUCCCCAAACGUUCAUGCUGAUCAACCCAGAUGACCCCGGGAGAGGCUGGAGUCCAGCAUCCAGUGGAGGAGGGAUAAACAGCAUCCUGGCCCCAGAAGCCAUCUCUAUAUCCUCUCCCUUCUUGGCCGCAGCGUUCCUAGGAGCCAGUUGCUCCAAGGCCUGGCUCUAGACUGCCCUUCACAAGAUAGGCACAGUGCAGAUGCCACCUGUUCCCUCUCCCUCGAAGUCCCCACUCUCUCUCCCAGCUCCCUGUCCUGCCACAUGGAACAAAAGCACACCAGGUCUGCUGAGCUCCUGAGACAACUGCCUCUUUAAGAACUUAUCUCAUAUUUUCAGAAAUUGACUGUGAAAAUUCUAAGUAAUGGUGUGACAUGAUCACACUCACUUUCUGUAGUUAAUCCUUCACGAGGGUCAGGCGCCCCUCUCUUCUCAGUGGCUCAUUUGAUUGUCACCUACCUUGCACAAAACCUCCCAGCCCCGAGCACUGUCUGGUGGGUUGACAGGCAGUCAGAGUGCUGAACGCUGUGCAGGAAUAACUGAAUUAGAAAAAAGCUGCUGGCGCUGUAAUAAAGCGUUUAAUGGACAGACAGCCUCUCUUGCCUUCCUUGGGGUAACACUAAAUCCCUUUUUAUUGUAGUUUGCACAGAUGUUAGUGAGUUAUCCAUUUCUCUAAUCAUACUAGAAGGUGGCACAUCCAUCUUAAAUAAGAAGACCAGCCCACUUGCUUUUACAGAGUCCUUUUUCUAAUAAACUUGUGUCAGUUUCAGGUCAGUUUUACCAAUACAAAUAAAAUUCAAACAAAUAAAAAGUAUAUUGUCUCAUGAUGAGAUUUAUGUAAUUAUGUCCCUUAGGUCACUUUAAAUUUACACAGGGAGUUACACCCUGCAUAGUCCUUAUUAUGGGCUGGAUUUUUCUCUGAUUCGGGGACACACACAAACACCCACCCACAGAGUUUACAAUAUUGGAUCUCCUUGGGUCAGGGCAGAGCCUGUCGUGCAGAACAGCCCUUGUUUAUGUCCGAGGGCUGAGCUGGCCUGUGGUGAGCUGCACUCGGGUCUCCUCUGAAGCCAUCCCCACGAGGUCACAGUUUUUGUUUUUUAUUUAUUUUAUUUUUGGAUGAAUUCUUUUACAUCCAAUCUGUGCUCUAGGUAGGCCAAUGUUCCACCCCAUUGUGAUCUUACAGACCACCCAAAGAUCUUUUUGCAACAGAACAUUUUGCAAAAGAGGAUCAUGUCAUGAAAAAAAAAAAUGUUUUCUAAAAGGACACAGUGGGGAAAAAAAUCC